rnacentral:sRNA from 1 species
UUUUUGUUUGUACAUUUUUCUCAGAAGAGGGUUCACUACUUUUAUACAAUUCUCAAAAGAUUCCAUGACCCAAAGAAGAUGAUAAAUAGUGUUGAUGUGGCAUCCACCAUUAAGGUUAAGUGUGGUGUGCCCUGUGAGUCUGAAUGUCUACUUAAGAACCUUAAGUAGACAUUAAGAACCUUAAGAAGGUUUUUUGUUUGUUUUUGUUUUUUUGUUGUUGAGAUGGAGCCUUGCUCCAUUGCCCAGGCUGGAGUGCAGUGGCGCAAUCUCAGCUCACUUCAACCUCUGCCUCCCAGGUUCAAGCAAUUCUCCUGUCUCAGCCUCCCGAGUAGCUGGGACUGCAGGCGCCUGCCCCCACGCCCGGCUAAUUUUUGUGUUUUUAGUAGAAAUGGGGUUUCACCUUGUUGGUCAGGCUUGUCUCAAACUCCUGACCUCAGGUGAUCCACCCACCUCGGCCUCCCAAAGUGCUGGGAUUACGGGCAUGAGCCACCACACCACGGCCGAAGGUUCUUCUUACGUAGACAUUCAGACUCACAAGGCACAUCGCAGUUAACAUCAGAAUCACUUCUGAUGAUAAUAUAAGUGAAGAAUAUAAGACAGGAGGCGCAUAUAUUAAUACCAGCAGAGCAGCUCCCAGUGUGUCUCUUCAGUUGGAACAGUUGUCGCAGUGGUCUACUUGCUGUCCAGAAGCCUGAUAAGAGAAAAAGAUUCCCAUGGAGAAAUGUUCUUGGAAGUGAUAACCAUGCUUACUCAUAAGGAGUUGAAAUGUAGCUUACCUGCUACUUUUCCUCCAAUAAAAAUGUGUUUAUCUUUCAUUCUGAUUUGUUGUGAAGCUUUUGCACACUCUAAUUUAAAUCUUGGUAGCAUAUAUCUAGUUGAGUACCCACAGUGCACCAGGCUCUAUUCCAGGGCCCAGGAAAUGGAAGUCAGUAAGACACGUGGUUCAAGCCCUCCCUGAGACAGAUGGUAGUACAGAAUGGUAUGUGGUAUGAUGUGCUGUAGCACAAGUUGCUGGUAGAGUGAAAAAGAAAGCUUCUACCCCAGCACUAUCAAACCAACUUCAGAAACAGUGAAUUACAGGAAAGAUUAGUACUUCCUUUUAAUAUGAUCCAUUGUUGAGUGUCAAGGAAUUGUUAUUAAUUAACAUCCUUGAAUCUUAGGCCGACAUUUAACUGACUGUCAUUGUAAGGACACUGUUUGAAGUACUUCACAUGUAUAAAAAUUUCCACUUAAACCAUACAUGUGUUGUGAGAUUGGCUCUUAGACUUUGAAAAGUUCAUUUUUGUUUACUUCUUUUACAGAAUUGAUAUAUAAGGAAGUUAUGGACUUGGAGGAGAGAACCAAGAAUGGAGUUAUACGGGGGCAGCCCUCUCCUUUAGGUGCAGCAGUGAUCAAUGGCUCUCAGCAUCCAUCGUCAUCGUCGUCUGUCAAUGAUGUGUCUUCAAUGUCAACAGAUCCGACUUUGGCCUCUGAUACAGACAGCAGUCUAGAAGCAUCAGCUGGGCCUCUGGGCUGCUGUAGAUGACUACUUGGGCCGUGGGGGGGUGGGAGGGAUGGGGAGUCGGUUAGUCAUUGAUAGAACUACUUUGAAAACAAUUCAGUGGUCUUAUUUUUGGGUGAUUUUUCAAAAAAUGUAGAAUUCAUUUUGUAGUAAAGUAGUUUAUUUUUUUUAAUUUCAAGUGAUGUAAUUUAAAACCUAAGUUGUGUUUCAAAACAGCAACAAAACUGUAUUGUAUUUUUUUGCUGUAAUUAACUGUAUAAUGUAAACCUAAUUAUUUUAUCAUGGUUUAAAUUUUUUGCAUAUUUGCUUUAUCUUAUGCUGCUGAUUUUUUUUAACUGAAUUUGUAAGAUUUUGUUUAUCAAAGCAACUAUUAUGUGGUGACUUGCCUAUAUCAUGAAUUAUUUAAGAUUUUUAUAGUUUUUUUUAAUUAGAAUUUAUUUCAGAUGUUUUGUUCAUGAUACUAUCCUUCAGGGUUAUGUGCUUAUCAAUGAAAUAACCCCAGAGGAGUGAGGGAAAAUAACUUGUAGCCAGUUAUAUUCAGGAAUAACUACUGUAAAUGAUGAACGUGUUAGGAGACCUCCAAUAUUUGCUACUUGCCAAUCCUAAUUUAGUUACAAGAAUUGGUAGGCAAUGCUACUUAAUUUUGGCAAAAGCCCCGUCAUCUAAAUGGCAGAAUAACUCAGAGCAUGUCUUUGAAGAUGCUGGGCGUCUACCACCACCUUAUGUCCCCACCCUACCCAACAAAAAUAAGUAAAAAGGAUAUGGUGUAUUCUACAAAUUUGUGGCAUGCUCAAAGUUUAUGAUCACAUAAAGUCAAGAGGAUACUUCAUGAAUAAUACAUUUCAAUGCAAAUAAACAGAUGGUUCACUUCU